CCCUUAGACGUUCUGGGCCGCACGCGCGCUACACUGACGAAGGCAACGAGCUUUCCUUUACCGAAAGGUACGGGUAAUCUUUUGAAACUUCGUCGUGCUGGGGAUAGAUCCUUGCAAUUAUUGAUCUUAAACGAGGAAUUCCUAGUAAGCGCAAGUCAUCAACUUGCGUUGAUUACGUCCCUGCCCUUUGUACACACCGCCCGUCGCUCCUACCGAUUGGGUGUGCUGGUGAAAUGUUCGGAUCGGCCGUUUGUCGCGGUUUCCGCGUCAUGUGGCUGAGAAGUUCAUUAAACCCUCCCACCUAGAGGAAGGAGAAGUCGUAACA
rnacentral:rRNA from 1 species